GUGGUUGUAGUUCAGUGGUAGAAUGCUUGCCUAGCAUGUGUGAGGCACUGGGUUCGACUCUCAGCACCAUA
rnacentral:tRNA from 1 species